rnacentral:rRNA from 1 species
AUUGAACGCUGGCGGCAGGCCUAACACAUGCAAGUCGAACGAAUGGCGGACGGGUUAGUAAUGUCUGGGAAACUGCCUGAUGGAGGGAGAUAACUUCUGGAAACGGUAGCUAAUACCGCAUACCAUCAGAUGGCCCCCGAUGGGCUUAGCUAGUUGGUCGGGUAACGGCUCACCAAGGCGACGAUCCCUAGCUGGUCUGAGAGGAUAACCAGCCAAACUGGAAGUGAGACACGGUCCAGACUCGUACGGGGGGCAGCAGUGGGAAAUAUUGCACAAUGGGAGCAAGCCUGAUGCAGCAAUGCCGCGUGUAUGAAGAAGGCCUUCGGGUUGUAAAGUACUUUCAGCGGGGAGGCGUUACCCGCAGAAUAAGCACCGGCUAACUCCGUGCCAGCAGCCGCGGUAAUAC